AUGAGUGAUCAAGGUACCAACAUAGCAACAGUGAUCCAAGACGCAGUAUCAGGCCCGGUUUCCCCAGGAGGCUCAGAGACACUGGAGUGUGUGGUGCUGACUGAGAGCAGAACAGAAGAGUUCAGUGUGUUCUGGUUCCGACCUGCUUCAGGAGCUUCCCAUCCUGGCCUCAUUUACAUCAACAAGAGCAGCAGUGGUCAGUUUGAGGGCCGCUGUGUCUACACUCUCUCAAAGAAGGACGUCGACAUCACUGAUGCUGGAACUUACUACUGUGCCAUAGCUACCAGUGGACACAUAUUCUUUGGAAAUGGCACAAGUCUCAAAAUCAUGAGGGACCAGCACCAUUUCGGUAUUAACAGCUCUGACAGCCAUCAAAGAAGUAACGAGGCUGAGUCUGGUGAUGGGGUAAGCUAUGCAGCCCUGAGCUUCUCUAAGAAGGAGAGCAGGGGCAGGAGAACCAGGAGGGAGCCACCACCAGAUGCUGUUUAUGCAGCCGUACGCAUCUGA